GACGAACGCUGGCGGCGUGCUUAACACAUGCAAGUCGUACGGUAAGGCCCUUUCGGGGGUACACGAGUGGCGAACGGGUGCGUAACACGUGAGUAACCUGCCCACAACUUUGGGAUAACGCUAGGAAACUGGUGCUAAUACUGGAUAUGUGCUCCUGCUGCAUGGUGGGGGUUGGAAAGCUCCGGCGGUUGUGGAUGGACUCGCGGCCUAUCAGCUUGUUGGUGGGGUAGUGGCCUACCAAGGCGGCGACGGGUAGCCGGCCUGAGAGGGUGACCGGCCACAUUGGGACUGAGAGACGGCCCAGACUCCUACGGGAGGCAGCAGUGGGGAAUAUUGCACAAUGGGCGCAAGCCGGAUGCAGCAACGCCGCGUGCGGGAUGACGGACUUCGGGUUGUAAACCGCUUUCAGCAGGGACGAAGCUUUUUGUGACGGUACCUGCAGAAGAAGCACCGGCUAACUACGUG
rnacentral:rRNA from 1 species